rnacentral:rRNA from 1 species
UGGGGAAUAUUGCACAAUGGGCGAAAGCCUGAUGCAGCGACGCCGCGUGCGGGAUGAAGGCCUUCGGGUUGUAAACCGCUUUCAGCAGGGACGAGGCCGCAAGGUGACGGUACCUGCAGAAGAAGCCCCGGCUAACUACGUGCCAGCAGCCGCGGUAAUACGGAAGGUCCGGGCGUUAUCCGGAUUUAUUGGGUUUAAAGGGAGCGUAGGCUGCCCGGCAAGCGUGCUGUGAAAUACAGUGGCCCAACCACUGGACUGCAGCGCGAACUGUCGGGCUUGAGGGCGCACGACGCAGGCGGAAUUUGUGGUGUAGCGGUGAAAUGCUUAGAUAUCACGAAGAACCCCGAUUGCGAAGGCAGCUUGCGGGAGCGCGACUGACGCUGAAGCUCGAAAGUGCGGGUAUCAAACAGGAUUAGAUACCCUGGUAGUCCGCACGGUAAACGAUGGAUGCCCGUUCUGCGGCCUUCGGGCCGCGGGACCAAGCGAAAGCAUUAAGCAUCCCACCUGGGGAGUACGCCGGCAACGGUG